rnacentral:rRNA from 1 species
UACGUAGGGUGCAAGCGUUGUCCGGAAUUAUUGGGCGUAAAGAGCUCGUAGGCGGUCUGUCGCGUCGGAUGUGAAAAUCCAGGGCUCAACCCUGGACCUGCAUUCGAUACGGGCAGACUAGAGUUCGGUAGGGGAGACUGGAAUUCCUGGUGUAGCGGUGAAAUGCGCAGAUAUCAGGAGGAACACCGGUGGCGAAGGCAGGUCUCUGGGCAUUAACUGACGCUGAGGAGCGAAAGCAUGGGGAGCAACAGG